rnacentral:rRNA from 1 species
CGCAGCCGCGGUAAUUCCAGCUCCAAUAGCGUAUAUUAAAGUUGUUGCAGUUAAAAAGCUCGUAGUUGAACUUCGGGGUUUACCCAUUGGUCAGGCUUAAUUGUCUGUACUGGUGAGAUAAAUCUCUACCUUCUGAGGAACUUUCAUGCCAUUUAUUUGGUGUGAUGGGAAAUCAGGACUGUUACUUUGAAAAAAUUAGAGUGUUUAAAGCAGGCUAACGUCUGAAUACAUUAGCAUAGAAUAAUGAAAUAGGACGGACUGAUUCUAUUUCGUUGGUUUCUAGGAUCACCGUAAUGAUUAAUAGGGAUAGUUGGGGGCAUUAGUAUUCAAUUGUCAGAGGUGAAAUUCUUGGAUUAUUGAAGACUAACUACUGCGAAAGCAUUUGCCAAGGAUGUUUUCAUUAAUCAAGAACGAAAGUUAGGGGAUCGAAGACGAUCAGAUACCGUCGUAGUCUUAACCAUAAACUAUGCCGACUAGGGAUCGGACGAAGUUAAUUUUAUAAUGACGCGUUCGGCACCUU